rnacentral:rRNA from 1 species
CAAAAACAUGGCCUUUUGAUUAUAAUUUAAGGUCUGGCCUGCCCAAUGAUUUAUUAAAUGGCCGCGGUAUACUGACCGUGCAAAGGUAGCAUAAUCACUAGUUUUUUAAUUGGAAGCUUGAAUGAAAGGUUGGAUGAAGAAACUACUGUCUCAAUUAAAAUUUAUUAGAAUUUUAUUAUUUUGUAAAAAGGCAAAAAUUUAUAUAAAAGACGAGAAGACCCUAUAGAGUUUUAUAGUUUUAAGAGAAAGGGUAAUUAGAAUAUAUUUUUUUAUUUUUUAAAAUUAUUUGGUUGGGGUGAUUGAAAAAUUUAAUUAACUUUUUUUGUAUAAAUACAUAGAUUUAUGAAUAUUUGAUCCUUUAAAAAGAUUAAAAGAAAAAAUUACCUUAGGGAUAACAGCGUUAUUUU